ACCUGUUUCCAGCACACAUGCCAGUGAUCCCAUGUGGUUUAAAAUAUUUUAGAGCCGAGAUACAGAACAUCAGAGACUCAAAGGAACGCUGCCAAUUUGCGAACACGGCCACAGACCACAAAACCAUUGAAAACUUCUAUUGACAACUCUGGCAAUGUUGCAUUUCAAGACACGGGUAUGGAUUAGCAGGAGAAGAUGAUAUCACAGCAUCAGCAGCAACAAGAACAUGAAAAAGAA